GAUGAACGCUGGCGGCGUGCCUAAUACAUGCAAGUCGAGCGAACAGACGAGGGGCUUGCUCCUCUGACGUUAGCGGCGGACGGGUGAGUAACGCGUGGAUAACCUACCUAUAAGACUGGGAUAACUUCGGGAAACCGGAGCUAAUACCGGAUAAUAUAUUGAACCGCAUGGUUCAAUAGUGAAAGACGGUUUUGCUGUCACUUAUAGAUGGAUCCGCGCCGCAUUAGCUAGUUGGUAAGGUAACGGCUUACCAAGGCAACGAUGCGUAGCCGACCUGAGAGGGUGAUCGGCCACACUGGAACUGAGACACGGUCCAGACUCCUACGGGAGGCAGCAGUAGGGAAUCUUCCGCAAUGGGCGAAAGCCUGACGGAGCAACGCCGCGUGAGUGAUGAAGGUCUUCGGAUCGUAAAACUCUGUUAUUAGGGAAGAACAAAUGUGUAAGUAACUAUGCACGUCUUGACGGUACCUAAUCAGAAAGCCACGGCUAACUACGUG
rnacentral:rRNA from 1 species